ACUAGUGUAAAAGAUAUCGAUUGCGUUUGCAAGUAUUUUCGUUGGCUCGAAAAUUAAUUUAUUAAAUUAUAUUCAAGUGCAUUAUACUUUCAACAGAGUCUAGCAAACAUAUUAUAAACCGGUAGUGAGUGUUAUUUGGAAGGGUUUUAAUGUGGUGCAUAAGUCUGAAAUUGCAUUCCUUGAAAGCUGAUCAACGUGUUGCGCUUUUCCUUUGUGUGUUAAACAAAAAAUCCUUGAAAAAGCAUUUGCCGUAGGCAAGGGCACGUAGAAUCAUAAGCGCACCCCAAUCAUACAUGAAGGAAUUGUAAGAUAAGAAGCCACUGAUAAAACAACCCACAAAACGAGUUGCAGUGAAAAGUGUAGUUUUUCAUUCUAAAAAACAAAACGCAAGCACUAAAAUUGGACUACAAAAAAAAGAAACAAUAAACCAAAUUAUAAAUUCAAAACGAAACGUUUCAUCCACUCAUCAACACUUUGGGGCACGUCAAAUUUAAUUUUCUAACAUUUUCGGAUUGUGAAGUGCGUCCAUUGGAUUGGGUUUGGUUAAUCAUACAUUGCCGUGCAGGGACAUCGCACAUCACUCCCACUACAAUCACCACUACCAUCACCACCACAACCACUGCUAUUACUACUACUCCAACCACAGCCAAUAGUGCCCAUAUAGGUGAUUUAAUCACCAUACAUAUAUACGUAAUUAGGUUGCAGGACAUCAUCGUCAUCUCAGCGCUUUGUUUUGCAUAUUUGUGGUAGCGCAUGUUGUAAAUUGACCGAAACAAAUAAGCAGCCAUAAGUAAGCUUCAAUAAAAAUUGCUUACACAAACCUAACCUGCAAAGAAAAAAAGAUUAAUAUUUAAAUUUGCAAAUUGGGAGUCGCUUAUAUCGAUCAUAAACAAGCAAAUUGCUAAUUACACACACACGCACACACAGUGCUGCUCACCACAAUGAGUUUGUGGAAGAGUAUCGUACGCUCUCCGGAGCUUGAAAAGCGCAUGUCUCAGUACUACGAUGUCAAGGGCCUCGCCGAGAUACGCGUGCAAUUUGCAUCGUGGAUUGAAGAGUUCAUAAUGUCCCAUCACCAAUUGCCAACUAACCAGAAAAUCUUCGAACAAUUAGUCAACGCAUUCUACGACGGACUGAAACAGAAACUCAUUACAUUGGAUGGUGAUAAUUUGUUAAAGUUUAAAAUUCGUGAAAUUUGCGCGCAUCUCGCACGAACAACACCCCUUGAACUAUACACGUACUUUCGUAACGGUUUACUUCGUGAAAUUCAGGCGUUGAAGGAAGGAAUGCCACAAAAUCCCUACAUGUAUAAUACAGCACUUGUUGGUGGCCAUGUGAAUGGAAUCGGCGGCAUGAAUGCAGGUAAUCCCUAUUUGAGCGGUGUCGGCGUCGGCGUUGGCGUUGGCGUUAGCCACAUCGACGAUGUGAAUAUGGCCGAAGAUGCGUACGCAUUGCCGGCGCGCAUACAGAAAUUAGCCGUCGAUGUUGAGAAUAUGCGUUUGGCCAUACAUAAUUUCCAAGGUGAACAGGAUUCGGUAUACAAUUAUUUUAGUGAUUUCAACCAAACACGUGCAAUGAUGUCGGCACAAGAUAUACAGGAACGUGAAAAUCAAUUUAAGGAACAGUAUCUCAUUUUGUCCGAACGCAAGAAGGUUGUUGUCACCGAUUUGCGACGCGUUAUCAACGAAUACGAUAUGAUACAAGAGCAAGUGAUAAUGGCUUUGAAAAUGUGGCAACGCAAUCAGGCUUUGGCUGGCAAUGGUGCGCCAUUCCACGACAAUUUAGAUGAGAUACAACGUUGUAUAGAGAUGUUGGUGGAUAUGAUUACUAAAAUUCAAUUAUACGUUACUAAUCUGCUCGCGAUGGGCGAAGAUCCGAUUCUGACAGAUUUGCUAAAUCAUGUUCGUUCUACACAAAAAAUUCUGGUGUUGUCGGCUUUUAUAGUGGAACGCCAGCCGCCACAAGUGAUGAAAACACAUACGAGAUUUGCCGCCGCUGUACGAUGGUUGAUUGGCCCACAGCUGGAGAUAUACAGAACUAAUCCAACUAUAGAAUGCGUUAUACUCUCAGAGGCCCAAGCUCAACGGCACGCCGCUCAUAACAGCAUUACGGACAUGCAAACCGCCGCUCCGCCGCAAUCUUCUGGUGAAAUUUUAAACAACGUCAGCUCUAUGGAAUUCCAACAGGCCACCCGAGUAUUCUCAGCCAGUUUUAGAAAUAUGCAAUUGAAAAAAAUUAAGCGGGCCGAAAAAAAAGGCACCGAGAGUGUUAUGGACGAGAAGUUCUCUUUACUCUUCUACACAACUGUCGUUUUCAACGAAUUCAAGAUAAGUUGCUGGACACUUUCUUUGCCAGUUGUUGUGAUUGUGCACGGCAAUCAGGAGCCACAGUCCUGGGCCACAAUCACUUGGGAUAAUGCAUUUUCCGAUAUUACGCGUGAACCCUUCCAAGUGCCAGAGAAAGUACGCUGGCAGCAAUUAUCUGUGGCUUUGGAUACGAAGUUUGGUUCGGCGACAGGAAGAAAUUUAACCGAAGAUAACUUGAACUUUCUAUAUGAGAAACUUUUCCGCAACGAAGCUGGCGAGCAUAAUGAGUUCAUAACUUGGGCUCAGUUCUGCAAAGAACCUCUACCAGAUCGAGCAUUUACCUUCUGGGACUGGUUCUUUGCAAUAAUGAAAUUGACCAAAGAUCAUUUAUUGAAUCUGUGGAAAGAGGGUCUUAUUGUUGGUUUCAUAAACAAGCGCAAGACUUUGGAAGAAAUUUUACCUAUGCAACAAUAUGGCACAUUUUUACUGCGCUUCUCCGACAGUGAAUUGGGUGGUAUAACUGUGGCUUUUGUCGACGAUCAGGGUAAUAAACUUAUGCUGGCACCUUGGACGUCACGUGAUUUAAAUAUACGUUGUUUGGCGGACCGCAUACACGAUUUGAACGUUUUGCGUACUGUCUUUCCAAAGAAUCUGGCACGUGAUGAGGCGUUUGGAAACUUCUACUCACACCACGUCGCAGAACAAACAACACGUGAUGGCUAUGUUCCGAAUACAAUAAGGGCACACGUGCCGGCCAUAGAGGGCGGUUCCGUGGUGGGCACUCCUCAGCAUCAACCGCAAGAUAUAUCAAUACCGAAUUAUAUCGAAGAUCUUGGCAUCGAUUGGAAUUGCAUCUGAAAUGGGUGGGCUGUAUGUAAUUGGUAUAAUGAAUGGUCAAAUAUUUAGUGGAGUGUGUGCAACAUGUCAUGCAACAGUUGCUCAAGACUUUUAAGCAGUUUUAGUGAUUUUGAUUCAAUAAUUUAUGAUGGAUGCGGAUAGAUACACACACACGCAGUGAUAUACAUAUAUACACACGUUAACAAAUUGAUUGAAAGGAAAAAGGAAAAAAAAAUUAAUAACAAUAAAAAACAACAACAACAUAAUUUAUACGAUAAAAUACAUUUUAACUAUUUGCCAUCAUAUAAAGCGUAUAAUUGCUUAGAAACUGCCGCUUUUCUAUGAACUUUAUGACUUUUACAAACAACAAAAACACGGAUUUGCAUAUAUUCACAUAAAACGGAAGUGAGAGUCAGAGUUCCUCAGUAAAGUAGGCCAGUGUAUUAGUUGUUAGCAAUCAUUAACCGUACACACAUCUGUCCACACAAUUAACUACCGUUAUUAAAUUGUCGAGCAAUAUUUUCAAAACUACGGGGCUGUGUAUAUUUAAAAAUUGCUGUCUCUGAGCGACUUGUAAGCCAUCGUUAAACACACAAAAGCAGUAAAGCAAAAUGCCACUAAUGGUUUGAAGGAAGCAUGUUCAAAACGAGAGAAAACAAAAACACAAAGAGAACGCGUUAUUGAAAUAUUCUACGAAGGGAUACUUUGCUGUUUUAUCAGUUUGUGAGUGUAUGUGUACACUUUCAUGUCGCUAGUCGAUGCUGAAUAUGAUAUGAUAUUUACAUUAACCGUUAUGCAUGCUGUACCGCCUUGAAAUUUUAUAUUUAGUCUAUAUCUUCUCUCCAAAAACAUACAAAAAAAAUAUUUUUUUUAAAUUUUUUUAAUGUACACUAAAUUUCUUACACUCUUCGAAACACUUGUAACUACCGUUAGUGGUAAAUAACUUAUAGUAAGUGUAAUAGUUUUAUACUCGCCGUUGCCUUAUAUAAUUAUAUUAAAUUUUCAUUUUUUUGUGUUCUGUAAAUCUAUUUUUAAUAGUCAAAUGAACUUUUCAAUGUUGCGGAUGCUUGAAUACUUGAAUUCUCUUUAUCACUGGUACUUGUUGUUUUGUGGUUAACUGAAUGUAAUUGCAAAAAAAAAAAAAUUUAAAUAAAUAAUUAUAAAUAUAUGCAUGCCAAUUGGUGAAAAUAUAAAGAGUCCACAGCAUAAAAUUAAAUGUUGAAUUGAAUCAGUGAGGAUAUUUUUUUAUGAAAGUAAAAAAUACAAACGAAACAUUAUAGAAAAUGAGAAAGUAAAGAAAAUCACUAACUGGUUACUAACCGGUCGCUAUGUUGAAUGUUUGACGAUAAGUGUGUAUACUACUUAGUCGUAAGUGUAACUAAUUUAAGUAACUUUAAGUUAUUGAUUUAUACGCGUUUUUACAGCAGCAUAAACCUAACUGUGCUCUACUUGCGAGUCCAAAAACGAUACACGACUUGUCGCAAACUGUAUAUUGCUACGUUAGUUGCGAGUCGCCAAAUUAUUUUACUUUGUGUAUGUAUAUGUCUAUAUUAUUUUUUAGUUGCGUAUUAAACGAUUUUAUUCUGUAUUUUUAUUUUUGUAUUAAAAAAAAUUAGUUUAAAUUAAUUCGGCCCAAAGUAUUUCUUCAAAAUUUCACAUUUCUUUUAAAGAGUAGUAUUUGAAUUUUUUUCUCAUUUUUAUAUUGCUAUUAUUUAUAUAUUUAAUAUACUUUUUAGUUUUUUUUUCAACUUUUUGUAUGGUUCCAUUGUAGUCGUCAUACUGUGACGUGGCCGCAUGUGCCGUUACUUGAACUUUUUACUGGAAAUUUUUCAAAAUUUUCUUUGACACUUCACGCAUAUAUAGCAAAGUAGUACUUAUCUUAUUUAUAAGCAAAUAAUUCGUCGCUAAUUUUUUAUGUUCUCAAUAAACAAAAAAAAAAAAGAAGGAGAGGAAUAAAUCCUACAUUUGUAUGUGCAUUAAUUGCUUUAAAUUUAAUUGUUGAAUACAAUAAUUUGUGAUUCUUAUUUUACAAAAUUUAUGAUACAUAAUUAUAAUUGGCUUCCAUUUCAUGUCUCUACCAAUUAGCUUCUUAAGUUAAUUUCAUGUUAAGUUUUCAUUUUUGUAAAGUACUAAGCUAAAUGUGAGCGUUAUGCAGGAGAAGUUUUAUUAAUAAGCAUUUUGAGAAAAUAAUAAUAAUAUUUGAAAAUAUUUGCAUUAAAUGUGGUGAAUUUUGAAACGAUUUUCGUGAACAAAAACGUGUUUAUUACUAAGAUUAGAGAGUAAAGUUUUAAAAAGGAUAUACGUAAAUAUACAUUUAUUAAGUACAGUUAGCGAUAUCAAUAUGCGCAAUUGCAUUUUGGCAGAAAAAGUAAGAAAAAUGUAUUCAAUUUGAGGUUAUGUUUUAAAAAAAAGUUGAAUUUGAGGUUUUGUUCAAAAAACAAAAAAACAUAUUAAUGUUACAACCAAAAAAACAACAAAAUUUUUUGAGGUUAUAUCCAAAAAAAUUAGUUUGAGGUUAUACCCAAAAAAAUUAAUUUGAUCUUAUGACUAAAAAAGUUGAAUUUGAGGUUAUGACUCAAAGAUAAAAUUUGAACUUACGACCAAUAAAAAAUAAUUUGGUGUUAUACCCAAAAAAAUUAAUUUGAGGUUAUGACUAAUUAAUUUCAAGAAUGUCAUUGCCUGUUUUUGCAGAAUAUUUAAUGUCCUCACAACAACAAUAAGUGAAUAACAGCUGUCACUCACUCUAAUUUGAAUUGUUUUACACAAAACUCUCUUUCACCCGCAAACGUGUUGAUGGCAUUAAGAAAAUUCUAUGAAAAACCGAGUGAACGAGUUCAGUUAUGCUAUUUAAGAACCUUUGUCUUUUAUAAUAAAGAAAUAAUGCAAUUAUCCACAACUUGAAUACACACACGUCCAUUUAGAGCGCAUAUUAAUAUCGCCAACUGUAUAUUUACAGAGAGCAAACACUAUUUAUCGCAUACAAAGUCAAGUCUUUGUAUUUGUAUGUACGUUUAUGCAUAGAAAUACACAUUUUACAAAAAUAAAUAUUACUACUAUACACACAUAUUUAACUAAAUAAUAAUAAAGAAUACAUUGAAUAAAUAAAUAAAUAAAAAAGUAAGUGCAAAAAGCAGCGAGUGUUGUAAUUGAAAAUUUAUUUACAUGUAAACUGAUAUCUAGUUCUUAAGCACCAAAAAGAUUGAGUAAAUGUAUGUAAACUAAAUAUAUCGAAUGUUGACAUGUCUGUGGCUUUUUAUUAAUUAUUAUACACACACACACAACACAACUUUUCAACUUGAAAAACUGAAUUAAUGCAGGAUUUUAGAAAA